rnacentral:rRNA from 1 species
GCGUUUGUAACCUGCCUCUAACCGGAGAAUAGCCCGAAGAAAUUCGGAUUAAUGCUCCAUAUUACUAUAAGAUGGCAUCAUUUUAUAGUGAAAGCCCCGGCGGUUAGAGAUGGGCAUGCGUGACAUUAGUUUGUUGGUGAGGUAACGGCUCACCAAGACCACGAUGUCUAGGGGGUCUGAGAGGAUGGUCCCCCACACUGGUACUGAGACACGGACCAGACUCCUACGGGAGGCAGCAGUGAGGAAUAUUGGUCAAUGGGCGAAAGCCUGAACCAGCCAUGCCGCGUGAAGGAUGACAGCGCUACGCGUUGUAAACUUCUUUUGUACGGGAAGAAACACUUCUACUUGUAGAAGCUUGACGGUACCGUACGAAUAAGCAUCGGCUAACUCCGUGCCAGCAGCCGCGGUAAUACGGAGGACGCAAGCGUUAUCCGGAUUUAUUGGGUUUAAAGGGUACGUAGGCGGGAAAUUAAGUCAGUGGUGAAAUCCUGCAGCUCAACUGUAGAACUGUCAUUGAUACUGGUUUCCUUGAAUGUAGUUGAGGUAGGCGGAAUGUGUAAUGUAGCGGUGAAAUGCUUAGAUAUUACACAGAACACCGAUUGCGAAGGCAGCUUACUAAACUACGAUUGACGCUGAGGUACGAAAGCGUGGGGAGCGAACAGGAUUAGAUACCCUGGUAGUCCACGCUGUAAACGAUGAUCACUCGUUGUUGGCGAUAUACUGUCAGCGACUGAGCGAAAGCAUUAAGUGAUCCACCUGGGGAGUACGACCGCAAGGUUGAAACUCAAAGGAAUUGACGGGGGCCCGCACAAGCGGAGGAACAUGUGGUUUAAUUCGAUGAUACGCGAGGAACCUUACCUGGGCUUAAAUGCAGAACGACGGACCGGGAAACUGGUCUUUCUUCGGACGGACUGCAAGGUGCUGCAUGGCUGUCGUCAGCUCGUGCCGUGAGGUGUCGGGUUAAGUCCCAUAACGAGCGCAACCCUCAUCAUUAGUUGCCAGCGGGUAAUGCCGGGGACUCUAAUGAAACUGCCGGUGUAAACCGAGAGGAAGGUGGGGAUGACGUCAAGUCAGCACGGCCCUUAUGUCCAGGGCUACACACGUGUUACAAUGGUCGGUACAAAGGGCAGCUACCUGGCAACAGGAUGCUAAUCUCGAAAACCGAUCUUAGUU